UAGAUCGUGUGAUGCUUCAUGUCA
rnacentral:siRNA from 1 species